rnacentral:lncRNA from 1 species
AUCCUCCUGCCUCAGCCUCCCAAAACGCUGGGAUUACAGGCACGAGCCACCACGGCCAGCCCAUGACUUAUCUUUAAAUCCCAGUAGGUAGCCCAAUGCCUGGCACUUGGUUGGCCCUCAGGAUACUUUUCUUGGAGUAGCCAUAAAUAAGUGGGUGCCCCAGGGAGGUUGGGAUGAGCAAUACUGAGAAGUUUAAGGCACAGUUCUCCUGCCAAAGCGGUUGGUCUCUUUCCACCGUCACCUGGUUUCCCUGGAUCAGCUAUUACAUCUCAUUAAUAUCUUAUAUUUCAUUUUCUUUGUAGUUCCCUUGCAAUGUUUCCCAAUGUGUGUCCUGUGGGACAAUAGUUCAGUGGAAUAUUAAUUAAGUAUUAUAGUGCAAAGGGAUUCUGAGAUCAAGUGAGUUUGGGAAAUAGCAAGUUAAAGAAAAGGAAGCAGGUUUAUUUGCUGAGGGACUUAUCAGAGCCUUUCAUGUGUUCAUGGAUGUUGUUACCAUCCACAAAGGUAACAGGGGCUUUCGUGUUUCCCACACCUUUUUGACCUUGAAAUCAUUAUUUUUUCCCCUUUGAGUAUCUCACAGGACUAGUGUUCUGAGGAGCAGUACACUGAGAAAUGGUCCUCUAGACAGAGAGGAAAUGCUGUCUUCCCCCUUUAUUGGCUAUGUGGGAUUCGUAUAAUUUGCUUAUUUGUCGGAUCCAUUAUUGCUGGGUGUGGGAGAGCAGGCAUGUGUUAGACUGUCCAUCUUCAGAGAGGUUUCCUGCUCUUCCUGUUCGUCCAGUAGUUAUGGGCUGUGAUUGUUAUGGUGAUAGCAGGGAGGCUGCAGACCCCAGAGGGGAUUAGGCAUAUCUGUGUGUAAACUUUGGGCAAUGUCUUUCUUUCAACUGGGCUUGAAUCACAGCAUUGCAUACCCUAAGAAAACAUCAUGAGGUAUAUAAAGUUCCCAUACUCCCAUUAAGUGGCCUGGUUUUCGUCUUUAAGUAUGGUGGGGCUGGUAGGAGUAGAACACGGGAUGAUGUAUCACUUCUCCUGGGUUUCUCAACCUCAGCACGACUGACAUUUGGAUGGGAUCAUUGUUUGUGGGGUCUGUCCUGUGCCUUGUAGGAUAUUUGGCGGCAUCCCUGGCUUCUACCCACUAGAUGUCAGUAGCACGUAUCAUCCCUCCUGCCUCCCCAUUGUGACAACCCAAAAUGUAGGCAGACAUUGCCAAGUGUCCUCUAGGGGACAAAAUCCCUCUCCCAUUGAGAACCACUGCUUUAAGAGAAGAUUACCCAAAGUCUGUGCAAGGCUUUUGGAAUACUCUUGGAAGGAUUUUUAUCAUACUCUUGGAAGAAGGAAGUAGUGCUAUCAUGCUCAAAGCAUGGUCUGAGAGCCUAUAAGACGUGCCAGCUAAUGAAACUCUCCCCUGGGGUGUUUUCGUAACUCAUCCUUAAGGCUCGUAUAUCUGUUGAGUUUCUUGGUUGCAAGUUACAGAAAACCCAAUCCAAAAUGGUCUAAGCCAGAAAAUGAAUUUUUUGGCUGUGGUAACUGAAGAGUCCGACACAGUGCUAACUUUAGGCACAGCUGGAUCCAGGUGCUUAAGCAGUGUUAUCAAGAAACAAGAAUUUUUCCAAAUCUUUGCUCUGAUUUCCUCAUUAUUGAUAUCAUUCUCAGACAGGCUCUUCCCAUGUGGCAGUGAGAAAGCUGCCAGCAGCUCCGGCCUACUCCUCACUAGAACAGAUCUGGUGGAAAGGGAAAGCUUCUCUUCCCUCAUGGUUUGAAUGCAAGUCCUGGAUCUGAUUCCCAUUGGCCUGGGAUACUACGCUAUUCUCAUUAGCUGUGCCGGGUUCACACGCCUGUCCCUGGAGCCUGGGGAGGAGCCAACACCAACGGAACCAUUUGGUGGGGAACAGGAGAGGAAUGGUUCUUUAGAGGCAAACGGGGCAGUUACUUGAAGAGAGGUCAGCGGAUGCUGGUCAGACAAGCACCUCUAUUGCCUCAUUCAUAAAAAUAACUAAACGACAGCCAAUAACGGCAGCUCCCACUUGUCGAACAUGAAUUCUGUACCAGACCCUACCUAUACUGCGUGAUCGCUAAUCACCACCAGCAUCCUGAGAGGCAGCUGUUGUCAACCUAUUUUACAGAUGGGUAAGUGGAGUCUCAGAGGCAGAUGAAAUGACUUGGCUGAAGUCACAGAGUGGGGCAGUGGCUGAGCCACAGACCGGAGGCAUCCUUUUACCUCCUCUAGGACACCCUCUGUAACUGACUUUCUUCCUGCUGCAAUCCAAAAGGUCUCCCAAGGUCGCCUGUUGCUAUUUUGGAAAGAGGUGGACAGAUACUGGAGGGCCACUCUUCAGGCCACUGCCCAAUCUUUUCUUGUCAAUUUGAUGUCAGCUUGUGCCAAUCAUCCCUGAAGGGCCAUUCUGACACAGCAAGUAAGGGAAAGCUUGGCCGGCGUUUUCUGGUUUGGCUCUGUUCUGCCUGCUUGGUCCAUUUUCCUCACCUCCGUUUUUGCCCGUUGCCGCUGUUUUUAUCUUCCAUCCCCCCAGGGAGCCUGCAGAGGGUGCAUUAGUAAUAAAGCUAACAUUUCCAGAGAGAGAGAGAGAUAUCAAGGAAUUUCCAUGACAUGAUUUCAUGAAGUUUUCUCAAAUAUCAUAUCAAGUAGACACUACUAUUAUCCCCAUUUUACAGAUGGAGCAACUGAGGCCUGGAGAGGCUAGAGGACUUGCCCAAGGUUGCCCAGCCAGCAGAUGGGAGAACUGGUGUUUGAAUCCAGGCAGGACCCAUUGCUUUUAUUACGGUACCAAAACUUCAGAAAAUUGCAAACCAGUGGCCUGUGAGUCAAAUCUGGCUAACAGAUAUAUUUUGCUUGGCCCACAUAGUAUUUCAAAACCCAUUUGAACUCAUUGCCAAUGUUUAAAAAUUGAGAACCUGCACAUCAAAAAACAAAAUUUGUUCUUUUCUGCUUCUCUUGAAAAAAAAAAAAUCAGAGAAGAUUGGCACCACUGGGCCUACAUUCCUGCCUGGCAGAGACCGGCUGGAGCUGCAGCUCAGUCCCAGGUGCCUGCUUUGGGUGGGGUGUGUUCCUCCAGCUGGAUGCAGUCCCCACCACUCCCUAAUACCUUCCCAGUGCUGAGGCCGGUGUCAUUUGCUGUGGCUCACUGUGUGUGCUCUGCGGUGUCCCUUGCGCCCCUCCUGGCUUACCUGCCUGGCUCUGGAGGGCACAUGGGCUUGCUGCUCCUCCCCCACAUGCAGGAGCUCCCGCCAGCCUCUGACCACAGUGGUUUGGGGUUGCUGUAAUCUCUCUCCACACAUUCAGUGGAACGGUCUUCUGCUGGUGAAGGUCUGACUUAGGCACUAGAAGAGUUGGACAGAGCCCCAAAUUUUCCUUUCCUCCAGUACCCCAAUCCCACCCCCUCCCACACUUUGGUUUAUUGGUCAGCAAAGGCCACUUUCUUGGCAGUGUUUGUCUUGGGUACACAACCACUUUUUCUUGCUCCCCGCAGAGCCCCCUAACGUUUUCUUCCUAAUCCUCCUCAGGAGAACCAUCACUCGGAUUAUCAUGAAACCCGAGCGUGUGCGCAUGAGAAUCACAGAGUGGCCAAGAGUGAGGACGUUGACACUACACAGACCUGGGGCAGACCCGGCCCUGCUGCUGAGUGGUUGACUGGCCCCAGGUGAGUUCUGUAACUUCCAUGAGCCUCAGGGUCCUCAUCUGCAAGAUGGGAGGAAAGAGGAGAUCACAGGAAUUUUGUGAGGAAUAAAUAAAAGAAUGUAUAGAAAGCACAGAGCCUGUGUCUGGCAUGCAAGACUUGUUGAGUAAAUGUUAACUUUUCCUGUUUUACUGUGAAGUGGCAACAUGAGGUCCUGCACACAGCCAGGGUUCAGUGAAUAUGGCUAAGCCCAGAGUCCUUAUUGGGAGAAAGUGGCCAGAAACCAGGCUCAAACUCCAGUGCCUCAACUUCCUAAGCGUAUGCAGCUUGAAAGAACAUUACACCCCCUCAAAGGGGGUAAAGUCAGUGUGGGGGAUGACACUUCCCUUCAGGUUUGCUGGGGGAUGAGACGCUGCCUGUAAAGUGCUCAGCACAUAGUAGGUGCACAACAAAGUUAUUGUUCAUGUUGAGAACUAGUCUCAUGCCCAGACUGGGCUCACCUCAGAGGGGUCACACACAUUCCUUUUCUUCUGGGAAAUCAAGGUGAACUGGAUGAAUGGCUCAGCACCUUCUCACAUGCAGACCUGCUGGGAGUGGGAGGUGGACCUACGGGGUUCUGCACCAUCUGGAGCUCAUUUCAUGGACAGAAAGGAAACAGAAAGGCAGGCACGCUCUCCUGAGGGCCUACUAUGUCCAGAUGCUUUGCUUAAACAGAGAAUAUUUAUUUCUCAGUCACAAACUCAGGUGUGCAAAAAUGCAACUUUGUGUCCAGAACGCAGUUAACUCUGGUUUCCCACCCACUCCAUGUGCCUCACCACAGGCUGCUUAAUCCAGUUCUCUUCUGGCUGGAACUCAGGGAUUUAAGCUCUGAUUUGGGUUUGUAAUUCAGGUUUCCUCCUCCCUCUCUGGGUGGUGGAGGUGGGAUGCGGGGGAUGGGGGGCUCUCUUCUGGCUCUGCCCCUUCUCUCCAGCCUGGCUCCCUGGGUCUGAUGACUGCUCUACCAAACGGUGGCCUUGACCUCUGUCUGGUGCUGGCCCUGGAGCCCCGUGAGAUGUCAGCCUGGAUGUAGUGGGAGGUCUGCAGGAGCCCCGCUCAGGAAAUGCGGAUCCCUUGAGGCCCUCUGCAGGUUUUCACAGGCGCUGACACCCAGCGCUUUCAUCCUGUGUCCCAGGGUGGGAACAUCUGCAUCCCCAUAUUUCAGGAGUGCCGUUGCCUGUGCACCCACAAGAGGUCUCAUCUUAUCCUGGCAACAGCCUGUAGGGUUGGGAGCAGCUGCGAGCCAUUUGUGCAGGAGUGCCCGGGGAGAUGGUUACGUGCUUCAUCAUUCAAGCUUGCCCUCCCUCUCCUAGGUAGCACUGCCUUGAAACUACUCCUAGCAAGAAACACAGCUUCUGAUCAUGGGAGAACCUAUUUGCAUCACAGUUCACAAACAUGCUUUUAGACACUCUCCACUUCAGUGGAGGAAACAGAGCCCCAGCGAGGGGAAGAGACUUACCCAAGUCACGUAGCUAAGAGGCAAAAUCAGGAUUCAGACUCAGCCUCCCAGCGCUCACUCCACAGUGCCUUGUUGGCCCAGCCCUAGAAGGCCUCCUGGCUGGAGGCCAUUGCCUGAGCCUGGGGAUGACACAUAUGUCCACUGGAUGUCAUGAUUUCUCUACUGAAGCUAGCUGGACCUUCUUGGCAGUGACAUAGGAUUUUCCCCCUUCCUGGGGCAAAGCAGUCUCAUAUGGGACACUCAGGUGGUGGCUCUCCCUCCUUUUGGCUCAAAGACAGGAGGUAAGGCCUGCAUCCUGUUUUCCUAGGGUGGGGAAAGUCUGCACACAGGUGGAUCCACUCUUUCCUGGGGACCUGGGAUCAUUGCAGCCUUCUCCACCCCACAGGCCCCUCCACAGCCUCUGCCCAAAUCCCCUUUCCCGGACUCCAAGUUGUAUCACCUUAGUUAACGCUUCAUUCCCCAGGUGUCUAAGAAAAAAAUGUUCUCCCCAUGCAGUUUCUCCACCUGGGAAACAGGCGGCCUUCUCUCUCUCUACGUCAUCAAGUCAGUGCAGAGCGCAUGGAGCAGCAACGCCCUGCCCAGCUCUGGGCUGCCCGCUGCGUGCUGAGGAUCCAGAGACAAACCAGCCAUGCUCCUGGCUGAGCGGAAGGUCCUCCCGAGCCUGCACAGUCUGAACUUGCUGAGCAGCCUGAGCUGGCGAAGAUGCCCUCCUUUAGAGGAGCGUGCAGACUUGAUAAGGGAAACAGAUGGGCCAACAGAUAAUUCCCAGCAGAGGUGUGUUCAAACAUGAGCCCUGGGGACUAGGUACUAAGCAGAUGGAGGAACAGAGAUGUAAGUAACUUACCCAAGAUCACACAGCCAGCAGAUCUGCACCGAGGCAGU